rnacentral:rRNA from 1 species
AUGAACGCUAGCUACAGGCUUAACACAUGCAAGUCGAGGGGCAGCAUGGUCUUAGCUUGCUAAGGCCGAUGGCGACCGGCGCACGGGUGAGUAACACGUAUCCAACCUGCCGUCUACUCUUGGACAGCCUUCUGAAAGGAAGAUUAAUCCAGGAUGGCAUCAUGAGUCCACAUGUUCUCAUGAUUAAAGGUAUUCCGGUAGACGAUGGGGAUGCGUUCCAUUAGAUAGUAGGCGGGGUAACGGCCCACCUAGUCGACGAUAGAUAGGGGUUCUGAGAGGAAGGUCCCCCACAUUGGAACUGAGACACGGUCCAAACUCCUACGGGAGGCAGCAGUGAGGAAUAUUGGUCAAUGGGCGAGAGCCUGAACCAGCCAAGUAGCGUGAAGGAUGACUGCCCUAUGGGUUGUAAACUUCUUUUAUAAAGGAAUAAAGUCGGGUAUGCAUACCCGUUUGCAUGUACUUUAUGAAUAAGGAUCGGCUAACUCCGUGCCAGCAGCCGCGGUAAUACGGAGGAUCCGAGCGUUAUCCGGAUUUAUUGGGUUUAAAGGGAGCGUAGAUGGAUGUUUAAGUCAGUUGUGAAAGUUUGCGGCUCAACCGUAAAAUUGCAGUUGAUACUGGAUGUCUUGAGUUCAGUUGAGGCAGGCGGAAUUCGUGGUGUAGCGGUGAAAUGCUUAGAUAUCACGAAGAACUCCGAUUGCGAAGGCAGCCUGCUAAUCUGCGACUGACAUUGAGGCUCGAAAGUGUGGGUAUCAAACAGGAUUAGAUACCCUGGUAGUCCACACGGUAAACGAUGAAUACUCGCUGUUUGCGAUAUACAGCAAGCGGCCAAGCGAAAGCGUUAAGUAUUCCACCUGGGGAGUACGCCGGCAACGGUGAAACUCAAAGGAAUUGACGGGGGCCCGCACAAGCGGUGGAGCAUGUGGUUUAAUUCGAAGCAACGCGAAGAACCUUACCAGGUCUUGACAUCCCGAUGCUAUUUCUAGAGAUAGAAAGUUACUUCGGUACAUCGGUGACAGGUGGUGCAUGGUUGUCGUCAGCUCGUGCCGUGAGGUGUCGGCUUAAGUGCCAUAACGAGCGCAACCCUUGUUGUCAGUUACUAACAGGUUCCGCUGAGGACUCUGACAAGACUGCCAUCGUAAGAUGUGAGGAAGGUGGGGAUGACGUCAAAUCAGCACGGCCCUUACGUCCGGGGCUACACACGUGUUACAAUGGGGGGUACAGAGGGUCGCUACCACGCGAGUGGCUGCCAAUCCCCAAAACCCCUCUCAGUUCGGACUGGAGUCUGCAACCCGACUCCACGAAGCUGGAUUCGCUAGUAAUCGCGCAUCAGCCACGGCGCGGUGAAUACGUUCCCGGGCCUUGUACACACCGCCCGUCAAGCCAUGGGAGCCGGGGGUACCUGAAGUGCGUAACCGCGAGGAGCGCCCUAGGGUAAAACUGGUGACUGGGGCU